UGUAUAGCAAUAGCUAUUUGCACUAAAAUUUUUAGUGUGAAAUCGACUAUGUCGAAUAAAAUUCUGGAUAGAAUUAUGAUAAUGACAUUAUCUGUCCAUAAGUCUUGACCAAAUUACGUGCCAGCAGUCGCGGUAAUACGUAGAAGACAAGUGUUAUUCAUCUUUAAUAGGUUUAAAGGGUACUUAGACGGUAAAUAAAGCCUCCAAAAGGUACUAGUUUGCUAGAGUUUUAUGUGAAGGAGUUUUAAAGUACUACUGGUGUAGAGAUGAAAUUCCGGUUAUACCUUUCGUUGACACAAGUUUAGGCGAAAGCGUCUUCUUAAAUAAAUAACUGACGUUNNAUGAACAAAGGUNUUGGGUUCCAAANNNGAA
rnacentral:rRNA from 1 species